UGGGGAAUUUUGGACAAUGGGCGCAAGCCUGAUCCAGCCAUGCCGCGUGCGGGAAGAAGGCCUUCGGGUUGUAAACCGCUUUGUCAGGGAAGAAAUCUUCUGAGUUAAUACCUCGGGAGGAUGACGGUACCUGAAGAAUAAGCACCGGCUAACUACGUGCCAGCAGCCGCGGUAAUACGUAGGGUGCAAGCGUUAAUCGGAAUUACUGGGCGUAAAGCGUGCGCAGGCGGUUUUGUAAGACAGAGGUGAAAUCCCCGGGCUCAACCUGGGAACUGCCUUUGUGACUGCAGGGCUUGAGUGCGGCAGAGGGGGAUGGAAUUCCGCGUGUAGCAGUGAAAUGCGUAGAUAUGCGGAGGAACACCGAUGGCGAAGGCAAUCCCCUGGGCCUGCACUGACGCUCAUGCACGAAAGCGUGGGGAGCAAACAGGAUUAGAUAGCCCUGGUAGUCCACGCCCUAAAACGAUGUCAACUGGUUGUUGGGAAGGUUCCUUCUCAGUAACGUAGCUAACGCGUGAAGUUGACCGCCUGGGGAGUACGGCCGCAA
rnacentral:rRNA from 1 species